rnacentral:rRNA from 1 species
CCAGACUCCUACGGGAGGCAGCAGUGGGGAAUAUUGCACAAUGGGGGGAACCCUGAUGCAGCGACGCCGCGUGGGUGAAGGAGCACCUCGGUGCGUAAAGCCCUAUCGGCAGGGAAGAAACAGACGGUACCUGACUAAGAAGCCCCGGCUAACUCCGUGCCAGCAGCCGCGGUAAUACGGAGGAUGCGAGCGUUAUCCGGAUUUAUUGGGUUUAAAGGGUGCGUAGGCGGACAGUCAAGUCAGCGGUAAAAAUGCGGUGCUCAACGCCGUACAGCCGUUGAAACUGGCAGUCUUGAGUGGGCGAGAAGUAUGCGGAAUGCGUGGUGUAGCGGUGAAAUGCAUAGAUAUCACGCAGAACUCCGAUUGCGGAGGCAGCAUACCGGCGCCCGACUGACGCUGAGGCACGAAAGCGUGGGUAUCGAACAGGAUUAGAUACCCGGGUAAG